rnacentral:rRNA from 1 species
GUGUGGAGUACGGCCACCANGCGACGACGGGUAGCUGGUCUGANAGGACUACCAGCCACACUGGAACUGAGAUACGGUCCAGACUCCUACGGGAGGCAGCAGUGGGGAAUAUUGCACAAUGGGCGAAAGCCUGAUGCAGCGACGCCGCGUGAGGGAUGAAGGCCUUCGGGUCGUAAACCUCUUUCGGCAGGGACGAAGCGAUCAGUGACGGUACCUGCAGAAGAAGCCCCGGCUAACUACGUGCCAGCAGCCGCGGUAAGACGUAGGGGGCGAGCGUUGUCCGGAUUCAUUGGGCGUAAAGCGCGCGUAGGCGGCUGCGCAAGUCGGUUGUGAAAUUCCGGGGCUCAACCCCGGAACUGCGUCCGAUACUGCGUGGCUAGAGGUAGGUAGGGGAGAUCGGAAUUCCUGGUGUAGCGGUGAAAUGCGCANAUAUCAGGAGGAACACCGGUGGCGAANGCGGAUCUCUGGGCCUUACCUGACGCUCANGCGCGAAAGCUAGGGGAGCGAACAGGAUUAUAUACCCUGNUAGUCCUA